CCGAGGCGUUUUGUCCCGGUGAGUCUGAGGACAUGAGCGGUGACGCAUAAACCGGCGGCAGGAGCCAAGAAAUGGAUAGCAGUGGUGUCCUCAAUCCCACGGUGGUGUCCGAGGCAGCAGAUGCUCCGCUGUCCCUGCCUGCUUGCUGCUGGGGUGACUCACAGGAGCUGUAGCUACUGCAGCAUCUCAUCUGAGGGAAAACAGCUUCUGGGCCAAAGGUUCAGAUAAUUUCCUGGCAAGGGCUGUGAAACCAAUAUUUUUUUCUUAGUAAAGACUGACAAGUUUCUGGAGCUCUUCUAUAGCCACACUAGUUUCUGGGAAGAAGAGAUAAGCCCUUUCCUAUUUGCCUAACAAUGAUGGCAAACAAAACAGUGUUCUACAGGAAGCAAAAGGCUUUUUUAAAAAUGUAGUUUAUGGGCUUGGCUCAAGGUUGCCUGCUAGACGGAACAAGCAAAUACAUUUUAUUCAUAUUUCUCUAAAACGCAUGUUUCAGUACAAAGUACAGGCAUUAAGGUGCAGGUACAGAACUGGUUUCAGGGCAGCUGGUCUGUUUUUUUCACAGUAAAACAUUUGUGUGGUUGAUGGUGCUGGAGAUACAGCGUGGCUAAUAGGCACCCUGAAGGUAUUCUUCCUACCUAGCCUCCAGUCAGGAGAGCAGCUUACAAAAUGUUUAACUCUUGGGAUACAAAACAACUGGUGGCUGUGACUGCAAUGCACCGUCCCUUUUCUGGGUCUCAAAACCAUAAAAAAAAUCAUGAUUCCUGGAAAGAGGUUGUACCCUUCAACAGACUAGUGAAACUCAAUGAGAAAUGUGCAGGAGGAAGAAGACAGUGGCUAGAAUAUAGGAACUCAGGAGAUGGUGAGUCAGCUAGACUCUUGAAGGAUCUCUGUCAAAAUACUUGUGAAACUUCACUUUUGGCAACACACGUAUGUUUAGGCCAAUUCAGGUCUUAAUUUCUCCUAGUCUGUUCAACAUCCUGCUACAAAUAAUUUUUUGCUUCCCUUCAUUUGUCAGGUGCACACACACAAGUUCCUCUGCUCUGGCCACUUUGGACUGUGCCAAACAUCUUGGGUGGCCAUGACAUUCUUUGCCAUUUGAGACCACCUUGUGCCCUCACUGCUCAACAGGUUUUGCUGUAAAAAAAUAGCAGGUUUAGUAGUAGAAGAACCUUAGCUCUGCAAAGGCCAGAGGGAAGAUGUAUGCAGCAGUGAUGUUGCUCCAUCAGCCGAUUUAUCUUGAAGAAAUCUUCAUUUCUGACAGGCUCUCCUGUGAGCAGUGACAACCUCAAAUCCCAGUUUUGGUGAUGCCAAGCCAUUUUGAGGAGAUAUAGGGCUUCUGCUGUGGCUGUCACCACCUUGUCUUUGCUGGGAUGUGAGAACGCUUCUCACAAAGUCCAACCUUUCCAGUUCAGCUGUUACAUUUCAGUUGAUGGAAAGAGAAUUGCUACCAAGAACCUGUGAGACAAGAAGAGAAAAGGGGACCGGGCUGAUGAAUUACUGCAGGAAAGAAGGUGAUUAGUGAAGAGAGGAAGGUGAAAACAGCCAGCCACCACUUCCUUCACAUUCUACCAAGGGGACAGUUAAGCGUCCUGCCAGCUGUGCAAAGCAAGCAAGCCAAUCUGGAGUCAGACCAAAACUGUAUAAGGAAAGAAGGGUAAGGCAGAGAACUAGUUCUCAUACAAGCCUGUCCCUACACUUGCAUUCUCUAUGUGGCUACAGGGGUGUAGUCUUUCUUUGUGUUCUUGCCUGUUUCCAAGGAAGGUAGUAUUUGAGAAUAAAUAUUUAAUGUCAGCCAAGAGUUUGAGUUCCACAAAGGCAGUUAAGUGUUUAUUCCUCAGCCUAGGUCCUUGCUUUCUUGGAGCAGAGUAGGUACUGAGCCUGUCCUGGAGAUCAGCCAAACAAGGCAUUACCACCUUUUCUGUGGCAUGCUUCCCCAUGGAAAAAUUUCAGGCUCUCGUUGCUGUUUGCUGUGGCAUGUG